CAGGUGUAGCAAUACAUGCUGACGAGCGGCGAACGGGUGAGUAAUGCUUUGGAAUCUUCCCAGUAGUGGGGAAUAACCAGUCGAAAGAUUGGCUAAUACCGCAUACGUCCGAGAGGGGAAAGCGGGGGCUCGCAAGACCUCGCGCUAUUGGAUGAGCCAAAGUCGGAUUAGCUAGUUGGUGGGGUAAUGGCCUACCAAGGCGACAAUCCGUAGCUGGUCUGAGAGGACGACCAGCCACACCGGAACUGAGACACGGUCCGGACUCCUACGGGAGGCAGCAGUGGGGAAUAUUGGACAAUGGGGGAAACCCUGAUCCAGCGACGCCGCGUGUGUGAAGAAGGCCUGCGGG
rnacentral:rRNA from 1 species